rnacentral:rRNA from 1 species
UACGUAGGGUGCGAGCGUUGUCCGGAAUUACUGGGCGUAAAGAGCUCGUAGGUGGUUUGUCGCGUUGUCCGUGAAAACUCACAGCUUAACUGUGGGCGUGCGGGCGAUACGGGCAGACUGGAGUACUGCAGGGGAGACUGGAAUUCCUGGUGUAGCGGUGGAAUGCGCAGAUAUCAGGAGGAACACCGGUGGCGAAGGCGGGUCUCUGGGCAGUAACUGAUGCUGAGGAGCGAAAGCGUGGGGAGCGAACCGG